rnacentral:rRNA from 1 species
AUAUAUGACCAUAUCCACGAGAAAGCACGGGAUCCCGUCCGCUCUCCCCUCGUUAACCUCGUGAGAGUUAUUUUAGCAGUUGGGUCGGUGACCAGCGAAUCCUGGUGUUGUCUGUU